rnacentral:rRNA from 1 species
CAGUAGCCGCGGGAAUACGGAGGGUGCAAGCGUUAAUCGGAAUUACUGGGCGUAAAGCGCACGCAGGCGGUCUGUCAAGUCAGAUGUGAAAUCCCCGGGCUUAACCUGGGAACUGCAUUUGAAACUGGCAGACUGGAGUCUUGUAGAGGGGGGUAGAAUUCCAGGUGUAGCGGUGAAAUGCGUAGAGAUCUGGAGGAAUACCGGUGGCGAAGGCGGCCCCCUGGACAAAGACUGACGCUCAGGUGCGAAAGCGUGGGGAGCAAACAGGAUUAGAUACCCCUGUAGUCCCUGUCUCUUAUAC